UUUUGGUAAGCAGAAUUGGCGAUGCGGGAUGAACCGAAAGUCGAGUUACGGUGCCGAAUUGCGCGCUAACCUAGAUCCCACAAAGGGUGUUGGUCGAUUAAGACAGCAGGACGGUGGUCAUGGAAGUCGAAAUCCGCUAAGGAGUGUGUAACAACCCACCUGCCGAAUCAACUAGCCCUGAAAAUUGAUGGCGCUUAAGCGUCGUGCCUAUACUCCGCCGUUGGCGCAAAUGCGAGGCGCCAACGAGUAGGUGGGCGUGGAGGUUGUGACGAAGCCGAGGCGUAAGCCCAGGUGAAACGGCCUCUGGUGCAGAUCUUGGUGGUAGUAGC
rnacentral:rRNA from 1 species